rnacentral:lncRNA from 1 species
GCCCCUCCACUCCACUGCUCCUCCAGUCCUCUUCAGCCUCCAGCCCACGGGUUCUCUCUCUGCGGCAUGGACCCUUUCCAUCUCAGCCUCUCUCCUCGACGACCCUUUCUAUACUCGACGGUGACGGACUAACGGUGUCGAAUGGCCUUGAAGUCUCGAACUUGGUUGCUCUCUUCCUCAAGCAGCAAAGCAGAAAGCCAGAAACUGUUGGUUACACUCUGGAUUCGGUUUCUGGGUUUUCACUUACAUUCUUGGUUUCACUCUUCAAGCUUGGUUAGUUGCUGAAAUCAAGCUUGCUUGAGGCCGUCAUCUCAAAAAGUUUUAUCGCUAGUUGCUGCCUUGAAAACACUUUAGAAGAAUAAUGAAACACUGGAGAAGGAUAAAGAACAUCAAAGGAUCAAUCUUCUUUCUGCUGAAGAGGAGGUCAAAUUGCUUUUCGAAGAAAACAAAGUGUUAGAUGAAGCUAACAAAAGAUUACUAAAGCAGUACCGCAAGGAAAGAAACAAUUCUGGUUCUGAUGGAAAGCAUACUGAUGUAUCAACGAAGUCAAACAAGUGAAAAUCUAGCUCUAAGGUGAUGAGCAGCAGCCCGAUUCAGGGGAAGAUCGAUUUCAGUGACCAAGAAUCAGCAAGACAACCUCUCUCACCCUUGGCGUUGUAACUCCCCUAACUCAAGACUGCAUAAAAAGCAAUAGGAAACUUCCAAAAUAGUCUGAUGUAUAUCGCACCUCUCAUUUGUACCUUUUUAUGUACCCAUCAUAUGGGUUGGUUGGCAUAAGAUUGCAGAUUUUCAAAUGACUAACAAAAUUGUUUGUAACUUGUAAGAAUCAUUUGCCAAGUCUUUU